AUGGAUGAGGAGAGAGAGGAGGGGGGUCCUGCCUCUAAAACCAUUCCGUCUGGGGAACAUGGCCGCCAGAGCAAAGCUAAGAGAAGAGUGCAGCAGGAGAGAGCAGACUCCCCUGGACCCAGCUGUGUCUCCAUGAAGAGUGACUGGUCUAUGGAUAAUCCUCGGAACUUUAAAGAUGGAAAUCAGUCUACUGAGAAGAGAAGAGUGCAGCAGGAGAGAGCAGACUCCCCUGGACCCAGCUGUGUCUCCAUGAAGAGUGACAGCUCUAUGGACUAUCCUCAGAACUUUAAAGAUGGAAAUCAGUCUAUUGAGAAGAGAAGAGUGCAGAAGGAGAGAGCAGACUCCCCUGGACCCAGCUGUGUCUCCAUGAAGAGUGACGCGUCUAUGGGAAUUCCUUUGAACUUUAAAGAUUCACGCCCCUCCAGAAAGGAAGGGUAA
rnacentral:lncRNA from 1 species